AUGCUGGAUAUCACGUAUACUAUUGACGGGCAAGGUGAGUUCCAUUUGUCUCAUCGAGGUAUUUUGAUCCGUUUUAGGGACCGACGAAGAUACCAGGGAGCUAAUCCCCUGGCGUGCUGCUAACGCAGAUUUAUUUACUGGCAGGAGGAAUGCGACCCUUACUGGAUUCGAGGAAUUCAUUAAGAAAAAGGGGUUGGAGGGGAUGCUGGAUGCUAAAGCCAUCAGGAAGCGAUGGGAGAAUUUGGUGCAGAAAUACAAGGCACUUAAGAACCCUCGUA